CUCAAACCUUUCACUGCAGCGGCGCCCUUUUCCUUCUUUCCUCUUUUGAACAAAAUUUUAAAGCUUCAUCACCAUUGACAGAGCUUGCUACUCCAUUCUAGUGCAAGGUCUAUAUCUUUUCCAGAUGCUCCUUGUUCCUUAUUCGCUUAGCAUUCUUCUGGUCAAAAAGAUUUGGUAAAACAAGACAAAUACUGCUAAGAGCCAAAAAUUCUUUCUCAGAACAUCUGAUUUUCGAGAAAUGGAGAGGGUCUCAGAGGUCAAACUUCUUUCAAACGGCUCUUUCAGAUGCCAACCCGUGAUCUCUUAAUAUUUUGAAAUCAAAUUCCCGCCUAAUGGAACCCUAGUUUGUCAUUAUAAAUAUUAGAUAUUGUACUCAUUUUGAAAAAGGCUUUUCCGUUGCACAACAUUCUUUACCACUUUUUUAGCCGCCGUACUUAGCACUAAACCAUUGUUUCUCUACCUUACUGUCGAGAUUUCACGUUUGAGGGCAUUCGAGGUCGAAGUCGUUUGUGUUCGACAUAGAUCUGCAAUCUAAGACCCCUGCCUCAGUUCAUUGCACCAUAAAAAGAAUUAUUUCGAAGGAGGGCGAUUAAAACUUGUAGCUUCGACAAACACGAAGACGCAAAAAGCAACUACGAAGAGGACGAUUCAGGAAAUGUCUACAAGUAGGGCGAUUGAUAAACUCAGUGAAGCAAAAAUUGAAAGUGGGAUAGCAACUCCAGUGGAUCUAAAUCAGACUAUGAUAUUGGCGAUGGAGAAAUUAGGGGAAUGGCUUGGCAUAGUGUGCUCAGCAGCUCGUGAUAAGCGUCAAUCAUGGACAGAUGAGAUGGAAUAAUAGGAAAACAUUGCGGGUACAGACACCCGGUUUGGUGAUCUACCAGCUUAGGACUUCUGCUCAGUUGUUUUGGAGAGCUCCAUUGUUCCGCAGCCUAGAUUAUUUUGGUACAGAUCUUUUGAUGUAAACUUAUGCAUAUCCGGGGGUACGGCGGGGCCCUGUCCCGUCAUACUUCACUUGUACACUCUUAGAGGUCUGUAGACAUAUGUGGGUUGUAUCUGACUGUGUCGAUAUGGUUUGUUUUGGAUAUUCCCGUAUAUAGUGGCAGCCUUGUCGUCUUGCGUAUUGUGUUAUGCUAUGGUUAGUCGUGACUCCUCAGGAGACAUGUUUAUGAUAUGUGGCGUUAUGAGUCUUUCA